rnacentral:rRNA from 1 species
CACGUAGGGUGCGAGCGUUGUCCGGAAUUAUUGGGCGUAAAGAGCUCGUAGGCGGUGUGUCGCGUCGGCCGUGAAAACCUGCAGCUUAACUGUGGGCUUGCGGUCGAUACGGGCAUCACUGGAGUUCGGCAGGGGGAGACUGGAAUUCCUGGUGUAGCGGUGAAAUGCGCAGAUAUCAGGAGGAACACCGAUGGCGAAGGCAGCCCCCCUGGGCCCGACACUG